rnacentral:rRNA from 1 species
UACAGAGGUCCCGAGCGUUGUUCGGAUUCACUGGGCGUAAAGGGUGCGUAGGUGGCUGGGAAAGUUUGAUGUGAAAGCUCAGGGCUUAACCCUGAAAUGGCAUUGAAUACUGCCUGGCUGGAGGUUUGGAGGGGGGACUGGAAUUCUUGGUGUAGCAGUGAAAUGCGUAGAGAUGUGGAGGAACACCGAUGGCGAAGGCAGCCCCCUGGGCCAAAACUGACGCUCAGGCACGAAAGCGUGGGGAGCAAACAGG